CCGGAGGGCGGGCAGGCGCCUCGUGGGGGUGCGGACCCAGAGGGCCAGGGUCAUCGUGCAAAGCCACCGAGAUGUGCGCAUUCUCAGUUCCUGUCACAGAGUAAACACUCCUGAGGACCUGCCCCAUGGGCUUCAGAAUCAGAGAGAGCCUGCUUUUAAAUCUCAGAAAGGUUCCAGGAAGCAGGGUCAAGGCCAGGGAGACAAUGGUCUCAGUGACUAUGGGUGAGUGGUUUCCCCUCAAGGUCCCUUCUGCCCACGGUAUGGUUUGGGUCUAGAGAGGUAGAGGGAUGGUAACAGGCAGGAACAGCUGGGCACUACUGGGGUGGGGGCGGGGCUGGAGCCUGUGCAAGGCUGUCUAUUUUCUUCCC
rnacentral:lncRNA from 1 species